rnacentral:sRNA from 1 species
AGAUAGAAAGUUGGCCCGGGAAGCUCAAGGAGGGAGAGCGGCAGAGGGGAAGACUCUGCAAUUCUGCUUGCCCCCCACCCCGGCCCAGGCAAGCCACCCUGCCCCCCGGCCCCCACCUGCCCGCCCCGCCUGCCCUUCCUCACCCCGGGUGCCUGCGGGAUUGCUGGAGAGAACGCGGCGAUGGAGCCGGGCAGGACCCAGAUAAAGCUUGACCCCAGGUACACAGCAGAUCUUCUGGAGGUGCUGAAGACCAAUUACGGCAUCCCCUCCGCCUGCUUCUCUCAGCCUCCCACAGCAGCCCAACUCCUGAGAGCCCUGGGCCCUGUGGAACUUGCCCUCACCAGCAUCCUGACCUUGCUGGCGCUGGGCUCCAUUGCCAUCUUCCUGGAGGAUGCCGUCUACCUGUACAAGAACACCCUUUGCCCCAUCAAGAGGCGGACUCUGCUCUGGAACAGCUCGGCACCCACGGUGAGGCCCCCGGGGCUGCCCUGUGGGGGGAACUGAAACGAAGGCAGAGACCAAGGUGAGAAUUCCUCUAAACUCAGCACGUCACUUCAGCAAAGAGUGUCCUGCCACGACCCGCGGAGGGCGGAGGUUUGCAGUCCCAUCUCCCCUUGCAGUUAGGAUCCUCUGCUUGGAAGGCUGCGCAGUGUUUGAAUUCUAAGGGCUGCGGAGACAGCUGGAGACCUGCUCAGCCCACCAGCCGCCUCACUCCUUGCUCCCCGCUACAGUGUUGCCAUUUAAAGAGCUUCCUUCCCGGAGAGGCAGCCGUGGUUCCUCAGAGUGUGGGGGAAAGUCUCAUUCCACAGGGUCACACUCAGCUCCACCCUUACGCUGAGGCUUUUGAAACACCCUCCCACAGGUCCUUGGUUUGCUUGACUUAAUUAGUUCUUUUUCCAGCUGGCAGCGUUUAAGGAACGCUGCCUCG